GAAUAUACCCGAUCUCGUCUGAUCUCGGAAGUCAAGCAAUCUCGGGCUUGGUUAGUACUUGGAUGGGUGACCGCUUGGGAAUACCAAGUGUGAUAAGCA
rfam:Ciona savignyi cont_33221, whole genome shotgun sequence.